CUUCAUUUGAUUUUGUAAGGCUUUCAAGUAUGAAAUCCUAGCUGCUAUUAACCCCUUCUUUCUCUUGGCGUUAUUAAGCCAAAACUGGCAAAAAUUCGGAGUACGUUGCUCUGCCUCAGGCCUGGUAAAGCUGGUUUUGGCAAUGCAUUAAUUGAGAGCUCCCUCUCUCUACUGUGCUUCAAACAAAUAGUGUAGAACCAUCUCAAUCUCUUUUGCCUUUUCUAUGAAUUGCGGUCAAUAAAGGACAAGGGAUUUCUCUCAAUACGAUUUUCAAUUGUUGGUUCCUAUUGGUUUGUUGAGUUUUAAGGUGGGAUUCAAGAUGAAUCCCCAAAGAAACCUCUCAGUCGCACAUCGAAUUUCAACAUAAAAGCUAGAAUUUUGGGGUUCUAUAUAAAGAAACCAAUCUCAUCAUUUUGACACACAUAUAAGUCUCGAACAAGCGCAUAAAAUACCUAAUUGAACUAGGGAUUUAGAAUUUGUUGAAACCUUUAACUAAUUAGGUUUUUAGUCUAAAAAUUUUAUUAUUCUUUUUGUGACUGAGUUUCGAGUGGAGGAGCAAAAAGCUUCAUUUCCAAGCUCGACAAAGGCUACACGAGGAAAUGGUACAGACUACAGAUUUGCUGACCCACAUGCCUAGGACACCUAUUCUGCUAUUCUGGAGCGCUAUUUUGUCCAGAGCCUAUACUCUGGUACAGUCUGCUGCUGUUGUAUAUAUGUACGCUAUUCAGGGGUACGACGGGGCCCUGUCCCGUCUUAUGAUUCUGUUAUGUUCUGUAGAGGUCUGUAGACAUACAUGUGGGUUCUGUAUAUGUUUUGGGUUGCUAUGAUUUGUGAUAGCCUUAUCGGCUUCCAUGUGCUAUAUAUGUUCCUCUCUGACACUAGUAACGUCGACUGACUUUUAUAUUUAUAUAAUCUGCUAGUCUGUUGGUUUGGGUUA